rnacentral:rRNA from 1 species
UACGGGGGGAGCAAGCGUUGUUCGGAUUUACUGGGCGUAAAGGGAGCGUAGGCGGCCACCGCAAGUCGGUUGUGAAAUCUCUGGGCUUAACCCAGAAAGGUCAACCGAUACUGCGGGGCUAGAGUGCAGAAGGGGCAACUGGAAUUCUCGGUGUAGCGGUGAAAUGCGUAGAUAUCGAGAGGAACACCUGCGGCGAAGGCGGGUUGCUGGGCUGACACUGACGCUGAAGCGCGAAAGCUAGGGGAGCGAACGGG